CCUCCCUUUGCUGACCGAAGCAGCUGAAGCCACAGCAGCUGGCAGUGGGCAAGACAUUUCACAACCUCUCUGUCAGGCCAGGAAUAAGCCCCAUUUACAGAGGCGGACAGAGGGCAGUCGGCGUCGCCGCCCAGCGAGGAGGGGGCAGCGGGCCGGGCCUCAGGCGUCUGCUCUCCCACCACUUCGAUCCUCAGGCAGCAGAUCCACCCCAUCGUUAGUGCCAUGCUUUCUGAGUGUCAAUUAGCAGCUUUUCUGAGAAGACAGAGGCCUCUAGGGGAAAGCAAAAGAACUAACUACGGCUGAACAAUACUGGAAAGGAGAUCACAAAGUAGCAUGGGUGCAGGAUGAAGCACCAGGACCUGCUUUGAAAAGAGAGAGAGAGAAAAAUCAAAACAGUGGGGGAAGUGAGAUCCUGUGGCAACAGAAGGGAGCAGAGGGGGAUUACCUUCGACUGCCUCCGGAACACCUGCAACCAAAACAAAGAAUCAGAGGAAGGGAAAGCCAGAGGACUAGGCUGGAGAGGAGAAAAUUUGGCUGUUGGGUUAAGAAGAGAAUAGGGGCAACCCAACCAGUCACACCUAAUCUGACAACAUUGGGAGUUUUCCUGGAAAAACAAUGACUGCAUUGAGCUGCUUGCUUCUAACUUCAUUUGACAGCCAGAGUUUGUUUUAAUUGGCAUGUGAAUGAAUAGCAUUAUUUAUUAAUGUGUAAUGGAUACUUUGGAAAGCAUAACCUUUUUUCCUAUCUGUGACCAUUUUAUUGGCGGAACCAUUUGAAUAUAAUAGUUUUAAUAUUUAAACUUGCUGGGAACACUUUUUCAUGGAGAUGUACAAGCUGUUAUGACAAAUGGUUUGGUUUGGAAUAAUGAGCCAGCUUGGAGUGGCAUUUGGCAGGGAGGGGGGUGGGAAGGUGAGGGGGUUUGGAGUGAGAGCCACUUGUCUGUCUGCUUUAACAAGAUUUAUGAGUAGUGUGUAAAAACAUGUUUUAGCUUUUUUUCCCCCUCAACUAUAUAAAUAUAGUUGUCGAUGUGUGACAUAACCCAGGCCACCAUAAUAGACUCCACCCAGCCAGCAGGAAUCUAAUUCAGAGCUAGAAAGCAAGACGCUUGCCUAGAAACGAACAGAAUGAGAUGAUGAGGACAUGGGUGAGUGGCCUUUGGCAUGCAGGAGCUGGCAUUCUUCUUUAGUGCCUUACUAAAAUUAGGGCUGAAAAUUAGUUUUUGUAUUAUUAAGUACAGUGUUUGACAUAAAGUAGGCAUAAAAAAUAGGUAACCUGAAUAGAAUUGAUUUUGUAUGCUGAUGAACACCUGAACAUAAUUCCAUUUUUAGAUCUAAUACACAGCCUUGUUAAUUAUGAAUCAUGGUUGGGGUUAUAGUCCUUUUGUGUCUGUGAGGGGCAGCAAUGGGAGGUCAAUGGAGGGUGGCCAGGGAACUCUUGUUUUUGUUUUUUGUUUUUUUUUUGGUAAAUAUCGACCUGAUUCUAUUUGUUGCAGAGAUUAAAUGGGUACCCUUAAGUUAGUUAGAAAGUAUGUUAAUAAAAAAACAAUUUACAACCACCUACAUUUUUUUGUCUCUCUCUAGCGACUGUCAGUUGAAUGCUUGCAAGCCAGUGUCCUAAGUACAGUAAUACUAGGAGGUAUUAAAACAGCCCCUGCCUUCAAGGAACUUUUAUAACGUAAUUGGAGAGAAGAGACACAUGUAAGCACCCACAUACACGAUGCGUGUG
ensembl:lncRNA